UUCCCUUCACGGGCUUCUGCGCGUGACGCGUUUAAUCCGAUUCCGUGGAGAACAUCGAACCGACUCGAUAACUCAACGGCGUCCAGUUGAGACGCGAUUAUCAAACUUUUUCCGUUUCCUCCAUCUUCGUGAACAAGAAUGUACAAUGUGUUUCUUCCAUAUUUAGAUACAAAACAAUAAAAUAAUUUUAAAAUACAUUUUCUAUAUAUCAUGUGUAUAUUAACGCAAUUUCCUUAGUCGGAGAAGAGUAAGCGUUUAAACAGAAUUCCGGAUUUUAAUGAAAACUAAAUUGCACUAUUAAAUUCGUCAUCAGUUCUUUCCUAAUGGUUGAAUUUCCCGCGAUCAGAUCGGGAAAACCGAUACAAUGGUUAACGAAGUGUUGAUCACUGAAUAGAUUAACGCAAUUGACGAAUACCAGGAACGAUAUAAUACAGUUCAAUCGAUGCAUAGAUGCUCCAUUCUUGAACGCGGUGACAUCAUUCUGAGAAUUGGGCAGCCUCGUAUCAAGGACGGAUAAGCAACACGGUUUUUUUCCACUAGCUUCUGUCACGGGCCGCGAAUUCGGCUUGUUACGUUCUGACGGCCUUCGAGUCGCGCGACCGUGAAAAAAAGAAUGGACUAGAUUCGAGAUGGUUGCGCUAUACUCCCAUAGCAUGUACCGCUUUCGUUGUACGUUUGUUCAACGAACAAACCUGUCCAGUUUGUGUGGAAUAAAAAUUUAACAAAUGAAACUAAAA